GAUGAAGAACGCAGCGAAACGCGAUAAGUAAUGUGAAUUGCAGAAUUUAGUGAAUCAUCGAAUCUUUGAACGCACAUUGCGCCCGCCAGUAUUCUGGCGGGCAUGCCUGUUCGAGCGUCAUUACAACCCUCAGGCCCCCGGGCCUGGCGUUGGGGAUCGGCGGAGCCCCCCGUGGGCACACGCCGUCCCCCAAAUGCAGUGGCGGUCCCGCCGCAGCUUCCAUCGCGUAGUAGCUAACACCUCGCGACUGGAGAGCGGCGCGGCCACGCCGUAAAACACCCAACUCUUCUGAAGUUGACCUCGAAUCAGGUAGGAAUACCCGCUGAACUUAAGCAUAUCAAUAAGCGGAGGA
rnacentral:misc_RNA from 1 species